AAAAAAAACAAGUACAUCCCUUCCUUUGAUUUGGAGAUACAGGGAAAAAAAAUUAUGAAUGGAUCAUAGAUUCAUAAUAUAUAAGAAAGAAAGAAAGAAAAACAACAAUAAAUUGAAAAAAUUAAAAUCGAUCAUAGAUUCAUAAUGUAUUAGAAAGAAAGAAAACAACAAUGAAUUGAAAAAAUUAAAAUCGAUGGGCAAUAAUAUAUAUAAAC
rnacentral:lncRNA from 1 species